CCUACGGGAGGCAGCAGUGGGGAAUAUUGCACAAUGGGGGAAACCCUGAUGCAGCGACGCCGCGGGAGGGAGGAAGAAUUUCGGGAUGUAAAGCGCGAGCAGCAGGGAAGAAAAGGACGGUACGUGACUAAGAAGACCCGGCUAACUACGUGACAGCAGCCGCGGUAAUACGUAGGGGGCGAGCGUUAUCCGGAUUUACAGGGGGGAAAGGGAGCGUAGACGGCUGGUCAAGUCUGAAGUGAAAGCCCGGGGCUUAACCCCGGAACGGCUUUGGAAACGGAGCAGCUAGAGGGCUGGAGAGGUCAUCGGCAUUCCUCGUGUAGCGGUGAACUGCGUAGAUAUUAGGCGGAACCCCAGUGGCGAAGGCGGCUUACUGGACCGUAACUGACGUUGCGGCUCGAAAGCGUGGGGAGCACACAGGCUUAGCUCCCCCUGUAGUC
rnacentral:rRNA from 1 species